rnacentral:rRNA from 1 species
GACGAACGCUGGCGGCGUGCCUAAUACAUGCAAGUCGAACGCAGUGGGGACGGGUGAGUAACACGUGGGUAACCUCCCAUCAGAUGGGAUAACACUUGGAAACAGGUGCUAAACCGAUACUGAUGGAUGGACCCGCGGUGCAUUAGCUAGUUGGUGAGGUAACGGCUCAACAAGGCCACGAGGCAUAGCAAAACUGAGAGGUUGAUCGGCCACAAUGAGACGGAGACACGGCCCAGAUGCCGACGGGAGGAAGAGAUAGGGAAGCUUCGGCAAUGGAAGAAAGUCUGACCGGGCAACGCCGCGGAAGUGAAGAAGGUUUUGGGAUCGUAAAACUCGGUUGUGAGAGAAGCGGUAUCUAACCAGAAAGGCACGGCUAACUACGUGCCAGCAGCCGCGGGAAUUC